CGUGUGAUUUUGUACAGUGUUUUCAAGUGGAGCGAAGAGGAUUAAAGAUAAGACAUGCGGAACAAACAGGACACUCAGGAACAAAACUUGCUUUCACUUUUGCUAUUGCCUCGCAGAGCACUGAACGGCGUAGGUACAGAGCGCAAUAUGCGGUAAAAAAAAAGUGUCAUUUUUUCUUUUCAUGCACCCAUAUUGGCAAAUUUCUGAUUCAUUACAACUUGUGUCGAAUACAUGUCAUCAACAUUUCUCUGGACGGAAAGAGGACCAGAAAGUCCAUAAUGGAAUUCAGUGAAGAAGAAAAGAUAUGGUUGGCAAAAAUAGCCUCUGAGGUCCCUGAAAAGAGUGAGCUGACUUUACAUGAACAGCACCUUUGUGAUCUGGCUAAACCAAAGAACUUGCUUGAAGAGUUAAUCUUUGAGUUCAUGGCUUGCAUCAGAUUUGGAAUAUUCAAAGACUGGCAGAGUUUUGGUCUGUACAAAAAAUGUUCUCCAGAGCCCUGAUCCUGGACGUGAGCACUCUGGAAAGAAAGAAUAUGAUUUGUACUGCAUUCCAACCUUCAAGGUGAACAGCCUUCGUGGACAGUGAAAAAGGUUGAACAAUAAAGCUUCACUUAAAUGAAGAGGAGAACA
rnacentral:lncRNA from 1 species